rnacentral:rRNA from 1 species
GAUGAACGCUGGCGGCGUGCCUAAUACAUGCAAGUCGAGCGAACAGAUAAGGAGCUUGCUCCUUUGACGUUAGCGGCGGACGAGUGAGUAACACGUGGGUCACCUACCUAUAAGACUGGGAUAACUUCGGGAAACCGGAGAUAAUACCGGAUAACAUUUAGAACCGCAUGGCUCUAAAGUGAAAGUUGGUUUUGCUAUCACUUAUAGAUGGACCCGAGCCGUAUUAGCUAGUUGGUAAGGUAACGGGUUACCACGGCGACGAUACGUAGCCGACCUGAGAGGGGGAUAGGCCACCUGGGAGCGUGGACACGGACCAGGCGCCUACGAUAGGCAGCAGUAGGGAAUCGGCCGCAGUGGUCGAGAGCCUUACGGAGCAACGCCGCGUGAGUGAUGAAGGGGUUCGGUUCGUAAAACUCUGUUAUGAGGGAAGAACAAAUGUGUAAUUAACUGUACACAUCUUGACGGUACCGAAUCAGAAAGCCACGGCUAACUACGUG